AGACCCGAAACCCGGUGAUCUAGCCAUGGGCAGGUUGAAGGUUGGGUAACACUAACUGGAGGACCGAACCGACUAAUGUUGAAAAAUUAGCGGAUGACCUGUGGCUGGGGGUGAAAGGCCAAUCAAACCGGGAGAUAGCUGGUUCUCCCCGAAAGCUAUUUAGGUAGCGCCUCGUGAAUUCAUCUCCGGGGGUAGAGCACUGUUUCGGCUAGGGGGCCAUCCCGGCUUACCAACCCGAUGCAAACUGCGAAUACCGGAGAAUGUUAUCACGGGAGACACACGGCGGGUGCUAACGUCCGUCGUGAAGAGGGAAACAACCCAGACCGCCAGCUAAGGUCCCAAAGUCAUGGUUAAGUGGGAAACGAUGUGGGAAGGCCCAGACAGCCAGGAUGUUGGCUUAGAAGCAGCCAUCAUUUAAAGAAAGCGUAAUAGCUCACUGGUCGAGUCGGCCUGCGCGGAAGAUGUAACGGGGCUAAACCAUGCACCGAAGCUGCGGCAGCGACGCUUAUGCGUUGUUGGGUAGGGGAGCGUUCUGUAAGCCUGUGAAGGUGGCCUGUGAGGGUUGCUGGAGGUAUCAGAAGUGCGAAUGCUGACAUAAGUAACGAUAAAGCGGGUGAAAAGCCCGCUCGCCGGAAGACCAAGGGUUCCUGU
rnacentral:rRNA from 1 species